UCUUGGAAGUUGUAGUCGAUUUGCGAAUACAGCGUUAAAUGCACCCUAUGAAAAGGACUUCAUUUCACAGAAUGCUUCCUCUCACUAGAAGAACCGGAAGUCCGUAAUUCAAAUUCUACCGCGGAUCGGAAGCGUCCUUUGUUUCGAUCAAUGAGCUGCAAUACAGUUCGACUCCCUGAGGCCACCAAAAUGGAAAACAAAGUACUUGAUCUUGGAUUAUUUGGUGGAUGUGAAGUGGAUGUGAAGACACAAUCUGGUGAAUGAAGCUGGCAAAAAAACAGGCCAAAACUGUGAACUGGAGAGGUGUAAAUGGGAAAAUAGGAUUCCCAAUGUUGUUGUGAUUGAGGCUGUAAGAAGUCCUUCAUGUGCACAGAUGACUGAGCUGGAGGUCAAAAAAGUUACUAAACUUGGGUUUCAUCUAACUGUUUUCAUCUUUUACAGUGUUGUUUGUAACUUAUUUGUCUAAUACAUAUUUGCACAUCUGUAAACAUACUUUUUUUUGUCUUUAAUUUCUCUUGUUUAUUCAUUCAGUUCGUUUAUUGGUUUCUGUUAUUAAAUGUUUUAUGCACUAAAUCUUUU